rnacentral:lncRNA from 1 species
GGACAGGGCAACUGCAAGAAUUUUGUUGGAGGGAUCCGUGGCCAUCCUGCACCUCCAUGACUUCCUUACGUUGAAGCCCAAUGAAUGGCUUAGCGGGGAGGUAAUUGACUUCUACCUCCAACUGAAGAGGAUUGACCUUCAAGUGGAGGGGGAUGUUUUUAUUGUGGAUCACUUUGUGGCAGGGAUUAUCCUGCAUGGGGAUAAGGUGGCAAUGCGCAAGGACACCUUGUCAAAGACCAAUCUGGAGCAGCACAGUUGCUUGAUUGGAGUUUGCAAUGUGGGAAACUACCACUGGAUUCUCUUGUAUGUCAAUCGCAGGACCCACUCUGCCAUUGUCCUGGACCCUACUGGUUACCCUAACGUGGAGAGCCAUAUGAGCGAGAACCUGGUGAAGCACAUCAGAUACUGGUUUGAGGAACAAACCGCAGAACUGGGACAGAAUCUAUUUUCAGCAAUGUUCCCUGGCAGGCGACAACAAUACCGCACACCAAGCAAAGCGACGGCUACAAUUGUGGAGUUUAUGUGCUGCUGA